CUUGAGCAUGUGCAUUUACAGAUGAUAUUAAAUGCUGACGUUGUCUAACAUCAUGGUGUACUAUUUGACCACCUCUGAAAAAAAAGAAAAGAAAAUAAUUGACUUAUAUUAUCUCCUUUGUCACCAUCUUGGUCUAUUUGUUGCUGCUGAAUCUUAAAUAGAAAAAAUAGAAUUUUAUAAAGUAAGACAUUAAAAAGACAUAAUUAAUAAAUAUAUACUAAUAAUUAACUAUAAAAGAAAAAAAAAUACCUUAUAAUAACCUAAAUCGAAGUUUGUUGUUGAUCUACAAGGAAUAAAUCUAUCUCCACCAUUAGGUGUACUGGCAGGAGUAUUGACAUUACGACCUGUUGUAGAAAAUAAAAUUAAUCUUCACAAAUAUUAAUAAUACAA